rnacentral:rRNA from 1 species
GAUGAACGCUGGCGGCGUGCCUAAUACAUGCAAGUCGAGCGAACAGACGAGGAGCUUGCUCCUCUGACGUUAGCGGCGGACGGGUGAGUAACACGUGGAUAACCUACCUAUAAGACUGGGAUAACUUCGGGAAACCGGAGCUAAUACCGGAUAAUAUAUUGAACCGCAUGGUUCAAUAGUGAAAGACGGUUUUGCUGUCACUUAUAGUUGGAUCCGCGCCGCAUUAGCUAGUUGGUAAGGUAACGGCUUACCAAGGCGACGAUGCGUAGCCGACCUGAGAGGGUGAUCGGCCACACUGGAACUGAGACACGGUCCAGACUCCUACGGGAGGCAGCAGUAGGGAAUCUUCCGCAAUGGGCGAAAGCUUGACGGAGCAACGCCGCGUGAGUGAUGAAGGUCUUCGGAUCGUAAAACUCUGUUAUUAGGGAAGAACAAAUGUGUAAGUAACUAUGCACGUCUUGACGGUACCUAAUCAGAAAGCCACGGCUAACUACGUG